UUAAUAUUAUAUUUUUUUUUAUUCAUAGGGGAAACGAAAUCUAUGUAUGGAGUUUAUAGAUUUAUUUUGGGAAAUUUGUGGGCAUUAUUACAUAAAUAUAUGUAUGAAUAAGAAAGGUAGAAAUAAAUCAAUACAAUAGGUCUAUAUGUUCCUUAUGCAUUGUAUUUAUUAUUCAUACAACUAAUCACAUUUAUUACACCACAAUACACAACGAUACACUUAAUAAUUUAAUCGAAUCUAAAUCGUAAUCGUGGUACAACAGUAAUCGAUUAAUAAUGUAGAGGUAUAAAUAGCACACUUACUGUGAUAUCGUGUAUAUUCUACGAUAUACAUACAACUGGUCAAGAAUUUCGUAAAAUCUCGGACCUGUAAUCGGUAUUCUUCCAUCUACAAUACUAUCGCGCGAAUCAUUCUUAACUAAACGGUGCAGUUUUUGCUUUUAACACGCUCGAAGGAAAUUGAACAACGGAACUAACAAUAAGAUCAUCUUACUUCUAGAUAUGCUGUAAUUAUUUUGUGUAAUGACACCGAAUGAUCGUUAGUUCUCAACUGUUAAUUUUUUGCAAUCUGCCUUACAAAUAUAUCUAUAUAUGUAUGUAUAUAAAGAACAAAUUUUUGUUAUCAAUCGAUGUUGCAUCUUUAUAAAAACGUCUUAAUAAACCUAAUUAUUUGUUGCUACGAAAUAGUUACGCGAAGUAUUAAAUCAUCUUAACGUGUAAGGAUAGUUUUCAGAAUGCAAAAAAUCAAGGUGUUACAUCAUUCUAAUUUCUAAGUCUCUUAUAAAAGGAUUGGAAGAUGCGUUCAAAUCAUUUUGAAGUGAUAGAACAGAAUUAAAUAUGCGUUUAUACUAUGCCUCGUAAUAUUACAAAAUUCGAUCGGCCGUGACAUCUUUAGCAAUUUGAUCGAGAUAUUAUAAUAAGCCACAUCGAUCGAUCGAUCUUCCUUGUAAUGUAAUACAUCAUCCUGUACGUAUAUCCUUUCUUUCUAACACUCAAAUAUAUGUACUAAUUUCGUGAAUAGCUGAUAUAUUCUUUACUUAUACUAAAGCUAUUUUACGUUGGUACAUUUUAUACACGUAAUUAUAGCAUAGGCGACGGAAACAGUGAAUCUUCGAAAUAACGUCUCGCGAACAAUGAGAUUACAAUAAUUAAAAUAUGAUUCUCUUACAAAAAUUCUCUUGCCGUUGAUGUCGAACAGUGUUAUUUCAAUCGAAUAUUAUUAGUCGUGUUCAUUACUUUAAUUUUUAUUUACGUGACUCUUUUUUAGUUUUUUUUUUUUAUAAUAGAAAUCAUAAAUUUAGGAGAAUAAUCCAGUUUCUUUCAGAUAUACUUAUAAUAUUUAUUAAGGAAAACAAAUAGAAAACAUUUUUUUUCGUUUAUGAUACUUUCUAUCAGAAUGAAAAUACAUUUUAAGCGAUUAAGUAAUUAAAAAACAAAUGAUUAGAAAAAUAUUUCUCUACCUAUCAAACCUCGUAAAAAGGGUCACAUAAACGAAGAUUAGAGUACGUAUAUCAUCUUACGUCGGUUUUAUAUAAGUUCGCUAUUACGAUCACAUGAACACAUGCAGCGUUCGGUAUUUAUUCAUAUCGUAAGUACAUUGAUGCAUCGUUGAUUUUGAUAUAUAAAACGAUGCUUAAUCAUUCUUCAAUCGAGGAGGCAAGAUAUUGUUAUUACAAAUCAGAAUUAUUUUCGCAAAUUUUUUAAAUUGAUAUUUUAUUCUAAAUUAUGCUACGGAUGUUUUGCUUCGAUUGGUUUUAAUAAUAACUAAUGAAGAAUUUCUCUCUAAUAUUUUUGAAGUAAAUUUUCUUUUUACGUUUUUUACCCGUGAAUAUUAUAAACUAAUCAAAGUUGAUUGACCGAUAGAGAUCUUUUGUAAAGAGAAUUUUCACGAUUUGAAAUAGAAAACGCUAACAAGUAUUGAAAUAAACAAGUACAUACAGAAUGUCUUAAAAGUAAUACAUAUAUUGUAUUCACUAUCAAAAUUUCAAUUUUGAUGUGCAUGACAAUAAAAAUGCAUAGAAAUGCUUGGUAAAAUAAAUUUUGCUAAACAUUAAGCUUGCAAUUAAUUGAAAAGUUGUUAAUUAGGCAAAACUUUUAGUUUCGAAUUUAAGAAAGGAUGAAUAUCCAGCACCCUAUAUACAUGUAGCUAAUAUAAAUAAAAUCAUAGUUUAGGAAACGAUUGAAAAUAUUUGUUGUUUAUUUGAAAGAUGUUGAUAAGAAAAUUAAUUGUCGAAUAUUACAAAUAAAUUUUUUCGAUAUAGCUGAUUUAAAAAACUUUUAAGGGAAAUUAUAAGAUGUACGUGCCUGUCACUGUUAGGAACUUAUUUGUUAAGCAGGACAAUUAUCAUAAAUCAUUUUAUUUAAUGUACCUGUAUAUGUGAAUGUUGUUAUAAUUAAUUCCACUUAACGAUAAAGUUUUCCAUUUCAUUUGUAAAGUUUCCACAGUUGGGUUAUUUUUUAUUGUCGAAGUAUACACGAAUAACAUGCAGGGAAAACAAGUUUUAAAAUUCGGAAGAACAAUUGAUUAUGUUCAUGUUAUGUAAAAUUAUAAAAGGAAAUUUCUCAUUACUAAUAUA